rnacentral:rRNA from 1 species
CAGUGUGACUCGUCACACUAUCAUUAACUGAAUCCAUAGGUUAAUGAGGCGAACCGGGGGAACUGAAACAUCUAAGUACCCCGAGGAAAAGAAAUCAACCGAGAUUCCCCCAGUAGCGGCGAGCGAACGGGGAGGAGCCCAGAGCCUGAAUCAGCAUGUGUGUUAGUGGAAGCGUCUGGAAAGGCGCGCGAUACAGGGUGACAGCCCCGUACACAAAAGCGCAUGUGCUGUGAGCUCGAUGAGUAGGGCGGGACACGUGGUAUCCUGUCUGAAUAUGGGGGGACCAUCCUCCAAGGCUAAAUACUCCUGACUGACCGAUAGUGAACCAGUACCGUGAGGGAAAGGCGAAAAGAACCCCGGCGAGGGGAGUGAAAAAGAACCUGAAACCGUGUACGUACAAGCAGUGGGAGCACAGGUUUACCUGUGUGACUGCGUACCUUUUGUAUAA